rnacentral:lncRNA from 1 species
UUGAUCCCUCGUCGUCGCCAUCUCAUCCCUUCGCCCCCAUUUUUGGGGGUGGCGGAAGAGGAAGAUCGAGCUCGGAGGAGGAGGGUUUCUGUGUUUUCAGGUGCGGAAUUUCCCCGCUUCAUUCUUCCUGAGCGGGGGAGACUCCUGCGCCGGCGGCGGAGGAAGAGCUCGGCGAGUAGUCGCUUCGCCGCCGGCUCUCGAUCGACGUGGCGGCGCUUCUUCAAGGUGAUUCUCCGCGCAGGUUCUUGCCCUCUGGUCUUCGUUUUUCCUCCCCGGCGGCUGGGGCUCGCCGGCGAUUCGGCGAUCCCUCCGAUUUGCGAUGGAGGGCUAGACCUAGGUCCCGCAGCGGGAUUGGUCCCUCCCUCCCUUCCUCCCUCCCUGUGUUUUUCGUCGCGUCGGGGAGUCUUAGACGGCUCGAUCGUCGGGGAGUCUUAGACGGCUCGAUCGUCGGGUGAACCCUCUCUCUCUCUCUCUCUCUCUCUCUCUGUCUCUCUCUCUGUCGCCUCGUGCGGUUUAGCCGAUCCUCCGAUCACUAGAUUCUUGCCGCGGCGACGAUUCCGGCCAAUGCUCGUGCGACCACUGCGACGAUGCCUCUGAUUUUGCUGCCCUUCGAGCUCUGUGGAAUCCGUUCGACUCUGUUCGGCGCUCUCGAAGUCGUCUUCUUGCGCAGGACGAUCUGCAGAUGUGAGAUGAUGCAGAUGCCCGCAGGAUAAUGAUCGUCGAUGUUAUGGCCAUUCAGACUGAACAUCCCGCGCGCUUUCCGUGGAUUCGCCCAGAAAUGCAGCAGAUUGGUUCCAUCGUCAGCUAAUUAAUCUUCUCCGACAACAUCUUGAUCAG